AGUGACUUACACUGUAACAGCCACUAUGGUGUGGUGUCCCAUUAAGACACCCAAGUCGAGGGUUGAUGGUGUCAUCAGUUUGUGCCACUGCUCUCUCUCUCUCUCUCUCUCUGUGAUUGUGUGGACAUGUGCUUGCACGCUAGUGCAUGAGGAGGGACGGAUUUUAUGUUUUACCUCUCCAGACACCUUUGUUUGCAACAUUAUGGGUUGUACGAACACUGUGCGCUAUGUUUGUUAAGCUGCAGCCGUUCAACCGGGCUUAUAUGGUUGAUGAAGAGAAGGUAUAUUAAAGAACACACUGUGGAAUUCCCAACGCCAGCGUGAGUGUGUAUUUUUUUGGCUACCCUGCUAAGUGUUUUGCCGCCUCCUCUCAACCACUAAACGCAACCCGAUGUUACAACACCUUGCAGUGAACCCUCUGUAUUUACUUUCAUUGAGUCUUCUCUUUAUGGUAGACUUGGAUAUCGAUACUCCUACCAUGGAAAUGAUUCUGAGAUCUUCCACCAAUGUCGCCUUCCUUGGACGUCCAGGUCUUUUUGCAUUGCUCAGUUCACCAGUGCUUGCUUGCUUGCUUGCUUUCUUUCUUUCUUUCUUUCUUUCUUUCUUUCUUUCUUUCUUUCUUUCUUUCUUUCUUUCUUUCUUUCUUUCUUUCUUUCUUUCUUUCUUUCUUUCUUUCUUUCUCAGGGUGUACCAAACCGUAGAAUUUGCCACUCCUAAUAUUGUAGCAAUUUCUGUUUUUGUUUUUUUCUGUUUUGGCAGCCUAACGAUGGCUUGUUUCACCUGCAUGGAGAGCUCCUUUGACCACAUGUUGUCUGAUCACAGCAAAAUUUUCCAAAUGCGCCACGCAUCAAAUCAACUUCAGGCCUUUUAUUUGCUUAAUUGAUAAUGCCAUAACAAAGGAAUUCCCCACCGGGAGUCCUGGAGUCAAUUGUCCAAUUACUUUUGGUUCUUUUAAAAAGACUGAAAGCUGAGAGUCUACACAUCAUAUCCAUGUCCAUAUAACUAUAAUUGGAAUAUGUUUCAGUGAACAAUUAAAAAACAAAACUUGUGUUA
ensembl:lncRNA